GUGGCUUCCGGAGCUAACGCGUUAAGUAGACCGCCUGGGGAGUACGGCCGCAAGGUUAAAACUCAAAUGAAUUGACGGGGGCCCGCACAAGCGGUGGAGCAUGUGGUUUAAUUCGAUGCAACGCGAAGAACCUUACCUGGUCUUGACAUCCACAGAAGAAUCCAGAGAUGGAUUUGUGCCUUCGGGAACUGUGAGACAGGUGCUGCAUGGCUGUCGUCAGCUCGUGUUGUGAAAUGUUGGGUUAAGUCCCGCAACGAGCGCAACCCUUAUCCUUUGUUGCCAGCGAUUAGGUCGGGAACUCAAAGGAGACUGCCAGUGAUAAACUGGAGGAAGGUGGGGAUGACGUCAAGUCAUCAUGGCCCUUACGACCAGGGCUACACACGUGCUACAAUGGCGCAUACAAAGAGAAGCGACCUCGCGAGAGCAAGCGGACCUCAUAAAGUGCGUCGUAGUCCGGAUUGGAGUCUGCAACUCGACUCCAUGAAGUCGGAAUCGCUAGUAAUCGUGGAUCAGAAUGCCACGGUGAAUACGUUCCCGGGCCUUGUACACACCGCCCGUCACACCAUGGGAGUGGGUUGCAAAAGAAGUAGGUAGCUUAACCUUCGGGAGGGCGCUUACCACUUUGUGAUUCAUGACUGGGGUGAAGUCGUAACAAGGUAACCGUAGGGGAACCUGC
rnacentral:rRNA from 1 species